rnacentral:lncRNA from 1 species
GGACCAAGUGCUAUAGUUCAGAGCUUGGGUAAAUGUGCAACCACGCUGCUUCCUCAGUGCUCCAAACAGAGAGAAUUCUUAUGCAAAUUUAAGAAUCUGCCCUUGUGGAGAGGAGCGAUCUCCUUUUACAACUGUCUGGGAUUUGUAUGGAGGUGGAAUUCGGCAGUUACAGAAAACCAGUAGGAGCCUUCUGAGCUCACAGAACCUCCAGAACAUCAGCUGGAAGUGCAGUGGCUGCAUCUGGAGACCCUGUGCCCCAGUCCUCGGGCUGAGCUUUGAAGAAGAGACCUCCAGCAGCACUGGUGAGUACAGAGAUGGCCACGGAGACAGAAAUGAAAGCGGCAGAGCACCGCGAGGGCACAGCCGAGGCUUGUGGAGACAGCGCUCCAACUCUCCAGACAGCAUGUCUACUUCUGGAGAACUCCUCCUGGGACUGAAGAUGUUAAAUGUGCAGCAGGAACCAAGUUGCACUGCCUCUGCUCUAUCGGCCUAUGAAUUAAGGAAGUCCAUGUGGAAAGAAGAGAGGAAUGCAAUUGAAAAAAAAACAGAAUGGAGACCACAGGUAAAAAACUAAGAUUUUUUUCCACCCAAUUUCUUUUCAGGAUGAUUGUAAAGAAACAACUAAAACUGGAAUAAAAGGAGAUACAGUGUAAUAUAGAACUGGGUACAGAUGCUAGGGUCGAGCCUUUUAAUUUCAGAUUCUUUGGCCUCAAUUUCUUCAACUGGAAAAAUAAAAAUAGUAAUAAUUACACCUGCCCUGUAGGUUUUUGAAAGUGACAUGAGAUAUCCUGUUUGGGAAGAAAAGAGGCAGAGGUUAGAGAAAUAGAAGAAAAAAGACAAAAUAAUGAAAUAUUACGGAUUUGUAGGGUUAUUUAUUCAUUUUAUUUUCCUCAGCAUGACAUGAAGACUCAGUUAAUAUGGAGAAAUAUCGCAUAUACAAUGGCAUGUAGAGCAGUUGUGCUAGCCUAGUAAGUAAGUCAGCACGAAACCUUUAUCAAGCAACUAUUUUUUUAAAAAUCUGGAGUGGUGGGUUUAAUUCACUAGCUAAUUUCCUUGAUCCUAUGGAGACUAAAUUAGUUCAGAACAUGUCAUAUUAUACAACUUCUUUACUGUAAUUUUCCAGCAACUCCCCCAAGCUUUGUACUUUUAGGAGCCUCCCAGGGAGAUAUUACAAGUUCAUCUUCUCCCACAAAGACCGAAUGAGUUCGACGCCUUAAGGCUGUGUAGUUCUCAGACAGCAAAUUGCCACUUAUCGGUGCCUGGCUUGAGGAACCGAAGUAAGGAUAGGUACCUAGUGGCUCUAGAGCCUUCCAACAAUCCUGUUCCUCUUCUCUGGCCCAAGUCAUGCUGUACGAUUGAAUUAUUGCUCCUUUUUCCAUCUUAACAUCAUAUAUUUUUCAUCAUAAAAUAGACUAUUCUGUUUAAAUGACACAUUCUACUCUAUCUAAAAAUGGAAACCUCAAAGAAAUAUGGUAUUUGAGGAAUCAUAAAAUUGACAUUUUUUAAAAAACUCAUUUCUUCUGCCACAAGCACAAAAUCUUCAAAAAAGAUCAUGGGAGAGAAUGGUCUCACUCAUAAAUGAAAUUGCAUACUUAGCUUUUCUGUGGAUGGCAAGAUGAAACAACUGAUAAACCAGAAGUGGGUAUUUCAUGACGAACUUUGGAAAAGGGGCUAUCAUUUUGGAUACUAAACCCAUUAUAAUUCAUUAAGACAUGUCAUAAAUUUGUGCUGUUUUAUCUCUAAGAGAUCAGAAGCUGUCAAGCAGUUUCCCUGAGAUCCUGCCCUGCUCUGACGUCACCUACACUUGCAGCAAGAGGAACCAGGCUGACAUGGACCAGUCAGAGGGAAAGAGGGCACAGAGGCCCUAGACUAGAAAAAAUUUCUCUCUUGUUUGGCCAAAAGGCUGGGUGUGGACAGAAUGGGAGACCAGGCAGCUUUCCUGGAAUAAGCAACUAUUUCUUUUGAUCCUCUGUGUUCUGGCCAUCUUUCUGGGGAACUUGAAAAAGUUUUCUGAAUUUAGGUUCCCAGUCAUUUCUAUACUUAGUCCUUAUUCUUGAUUGAAUCCAUUCUAGAACAAAAAGGCAAAUUUUACAGCAAUGUUGAUAAUCAGAGCUGUGUACACCAAGGAAAUGAAUACCUGUUAUCAAAAUGUUGGAAUCCUUCUCUAACACUUGAUAACAAACCCCUCCUCUGAGUCCCCAGCAUGUCGCUACUGCCACCGUGGCCACCCUGGCCCUAUUCCUAAAAUCUUUUGCAUCACCCCAUAUGGCAGCUCUUAAAGAAGCAACGUCUGGCCUCAGUAGAACGUGCCCCACAGUCCUGCUUCACCACCCCAUGACCGAUGUUCUUUCUAAUUGGCUGGUUCUUGGCUUUUAUAGCUAAGUUUAUUGCAUAUUAGCCUUGUAUAAAGAUCCCAGAAAAUAACAGGCAUGAAUCAAGUGGGCGGGUGUAGCACAAUGGGAAGUAAUGGGAAAUGUGGGAACCUGGAGGGCUCCCACCUCUUAAAGAAGCAGUUGCUAUGUUGUCGUUGCCAUGGGGGAAUGUAGGCUGAAGGUGCUAAAUCUUCUGUACUUCAAGAGAAACCAGAAAUUGUGCUUUUAAUAAAAAAUCUCUGAUUUCUUAACAUUGAGGUACCAUCAGUGUUGGCCUGCUAUUGUGUGGGCCCAGCUAGACUGGAUAGGCUCCAUGUGUCAUGAGUUUGCAACCCUGCUUUAAGCAUGUGGAGUUGUCAGAGCCUUCUUAUGCCUCACUCAUGAAACAGGCCAGAGGGAAGAUGCGGCCCUAUGGCUGGGUAAUUAAAUAUAAUUUCAAAUUGAAACUUUGAAGCAGUAAGUGAAAUUUAUAAUUACAGCAAUCUCCUUUUUUACUGUACUUUAGAUUUUGCCAAGUGUUAUCAAAUAUGGCAUUUGAGGCUUUCCCUGAUAAUCAGGGUACUACUAUGUGUUUUAAGAGUUGAAAAAAUCCACAUGGAAAGAUUAUGAAAAUUGCCAAAUAGCAUCCAGAUAUAUUCAGAAUUGGGUCUUCACUUUAGUACCAUUGAAUUGAUCCUUCCAAAACAUUUGUUUAAAAUGUCUAUUAUACCUUCAGUCUUAUAGAUAUACCAGAUGUAACACCAGGUAAUUAUUCUAGAACGAUAGCCUUUUGGACCCUAUUUCUCAUACUCAUUUGAAGUGAUCCAUCAGUAUAUGCAAAACAUGUCAUGAAGGUCAAAACAUGUGUUUGGAAUAGAUUACAUUAUUGUUACCAGCUCUUUAAUAAAAUUAUACAUCAAGUUCUUAGCCAUGUGAACUUUAAGUUCUUUCAGAGUGAUCAGAGCAGAAUUUCUUUGGCGAAUGGCCGGGGGUGGGAGUCAUGUGCCAGUCCAUAGCGGAGGGUUAAGAGGCAUUCAGUGUUUUCACUGUGUCCCCUUCAGCUUCUGUAAUUUGCUCUAAGAGGAGAUUGUCCUAGUUCUCUAUUCCUGCUUCACCGCAGAUGGACACAUAUGGUGCAGACACAGACCUGACCUAGAGCCUGGAACCACAUCCAGCUCAACUCAGCAAGGUCAGCAGAAACCCAGAUGACCCACUGGGCCAUAGGCAAGAAAAUAAAAAUGUGUUAAUAUAAUCUCCUGAGAUACGAGAGCCAGGGGGUUGUUUGUCAUGUGGCAUUAUUGAAGCAAUAUCUGACAAGGUUUUUAUAACCAUCUUAGUGUAAAUAAUAAUAUCCAUGCUUAGACCAUGAAAGAUUCAUCUUAACCAUAGACAAAAAUCUCAGCUAGCUCAAUAAGGAGAAUAUAUGCUUUUGGAGUAGUACAGCCUUUCUUCUUCUAAACUGGUAUUCCCAGUGUUGAUUGGAUAAAGAACUAAGGAAAGAAAAUGGAAAGUAAGAAACCACAUUUUCUUAAAAAUGUAAUGAAAUUGAGAUAGAAAGUGAUUAAUGACCUUGGAAAACAACAGUAUUGAAACACUGUUGCUGAUCCUGGAUAAGGUUGACCAUUACUAAGGAAAAACUAUGGAGUCCUUUGUUUGUAAAAGCAAAAACAAACACAAACACAUUUCUAAUUAAUUUUAUUAGUACAUUUUAGGUAUACAGUAUGACAUUCAUCAUUGGCGAUUUGCACCUUUACAUAAUCUAUAUUGGUUCUUCUUUUUCCCCCUUCCCCUGCCCUCCCUUCAACUCCUCCAAAUCACCCCCCCAUUUACAAAGACUUUGUUUCCUUUUUUUCUUUUUCUCAUAUUACACUUUUGCUUUUUACUGGUUGAAUUAUUUCCACUUCCUAUUGAUUGAAACAAGCUUUCUCUCUUUUACUUUUGUCAGCUUUCUUGAACUAAAAUGAAAAUUGUGUCUCAGAGAAUCUGAGGGAGAGCCAUCAGUUAUUUUUAACCCAAGCUAUGCUUCAGAAUCACCUAGGAAACUUUUCUAAAUUCUAGUUGCCUGGCAUCUCUCGCAGAAAUUCUGAUUUAAUUGGUCUGAGUAGAGCUGGGCUAAUGUACGUGGGGAUCCACCCCCCACCCCUGUGAUUAUCAUGUGCAGCUGGAAUUGAAAAUCAUUGUCCUUACAGGAGACGGGAGAUGGUUAAUGACAAAGUUAAUAAAAAUAUCCUUACAGUAAAUGAGAACAAUUUCUCUAUUUUUUAUUGUAGUAAAAUCCACGUAACACAAAGUUUACCAUCUUAACCACUGCAAGUGUACACAGUGGUAUUAAAUAUAUGCAUCAUGUUGUGCCACCAUCUGUCACCUGAAGUCUUUUCAUCUUGUAAAGCUGAAAUUCUGUACCCACUCCCUGAUUCUGCCAGCCCCUGGCAACCACCAUUCAUUCCACUUUCUGUCUCCAAGAUUCUGACUACUCUAAGCACAUUGUUUAAAUGGAAUCAUGCAGUACAGGUACUAGUGGGAGAUACUGCAGGUUCAGUACCACACCACUACAACGAAGUAAAUGUCUCCGUGAAGUAGUCUGGAUAAAAUGAAAGGGGCAGAAAGAGGAUGUUAAGGCUCCCGUUGCUUUGCUACCUUCGGUCCACCAUGAACUGUUGCCCCUCUGCCAUGCCAGCCUGCCGUGGAGCCAUUGUGGACUGAAGUCUCUACAAACUGCAAGGAGAAAAAGAUGAAAGUCAAAGAUGUUCCCAGGUUACACAGCUGAAAGUGAGGAAGUUGGUGGUUUCCUGACUCAAGAGAGUGGAGAAGACUGAACCCAAUGAGGCACUGAAAUGAAUUGGCUGCAACUUCUAGAAGGGAUCAUGCAUUUCUGAUUUUGAAGACCCUUAACCGAGACCUGCUUCUCUGUUUGGAUUGAACUUGGGACCUUACUCUUUCGAGACAAGCACCAGAACCACUGAGCUAAAUUCCUGCCUUGACUUGCUUCUCCUUAGGAAUUGCAGAUUCAAAGGAACUGGGGCAAAAACAAACAGAAAAAUCUGAGCAACACAGACAUGGCCAAGUUUGCAGGCAAAGUGACUUAAAGUAGUAACUGAUUUUGUAAUCUUACAUGAGGAGCCCUUUAAUGCAAGAAAUUGUGAAAAACUAGUACAUGAGAAUAAUUGUACUUUUAGUGUAUAGUAUAAUGAUUGGGAAACGUGCGCGCGCGCACACACACACACACACACACACACACACACAAGGACUGUGCAAUUGCUCCACCUUCCUGAGAGAUUUGCGCCUCACAGGUUGAAUUGAUAAAUUCAGUUGAAAGAUUUGGAACUGAAAGUGGAAACUCAGCUUAAGGUCCAACUCUGCCACUGCUUUAGGCAGAGACUUGGCUUUUCUGAGCCUUGCAGCUCUUUAGACUAUAAAUGGGGCAUCGAGCUGAAGGUGUGUGUGCCAAGCCUUGCACAGUCCCAGGAGUGACUUUCAAAUGGAUUACAGUGCUGACUGCGCUGUGGACCUGUACUGGCAACAACCCUGCUUAAGAGCCAGCCUGACAACUUAGGACCCACAGCAGGCAGCCUUCUAGUCCUGAUCAGACCUGGAUACCUUCUUUAUGAACCACCCUGGCACUGUACUUAAUGCUCUCCAUUCCUACUGACAUCUAGCUCAUCUCUUUUCUUCCAAAACACUCUUUAUGGGCAAAAUGACAUAAAACAGGACUUGUGGAGUCCCUUGGGAACCUCUCUGAGGUUAACCAGACAUUUUUAAAGGAUUGUUCAAAGCUCUGAGGCCUUCAUGCAAAGCCAAAUGCACAGUUUCUUUGGGAACCAUGCCUGGCUCUUGUGUCAGUCAUAGAAGAAAUGAUUGCAAACAUUAGAGGCAAUGAUGACACAUGAGCUCAUCUCUCCUAUUCCCCUGGCAUGGCUCUGGAGAAACGAUGACAUUAGAAAGGAACUCCUGUGCUCUUGCUCCUCCUUAUGACUCUCACUGCUAAACUCUCUGGAAUAUGUCUCUCAUUUCCCUUUAAAAUAAUUCCCAAAACAUGAUCCUGGAACUUUUGUUAAAAGUGCUAUUGGAAGGAAGGAAUCAACCAAGGAAAGAAGAGAAGAAAUGCAACAUUUGGGUUUCAUCUCAAGAGAAACUGAGGCAUGGAACACUGUCUGAAAUACACCUGAGUAAGUAGUACAACUCAACAACUAAAUCAGAGAAAUACUGGUAUCCUAUCCAGAGAGUUCAGCUAGAACAGUACACAUAAUACUGCCUUCCGAAUGCUAACUGAAUGCUUCAGCAUUACAGUACAGAGCCUACACUAUCCUUGAACUAUAGAAAUGCAGCACUGUUAUUUAGUAAAUAGGAAAAGCUUUUGAAGUUCAUCUAAGUAGGUUGAGAAUUAGCUCUAGGGCUAAGGCAGUGCCUCAGGAGAAAGCAAUGGUAAUAGAAUGUUUUCCAGAAUGUAUUCUGAAAGGAAAAUGUUUCAAAUGAUGCACCAUGAGAGAAGGUCAAAUAAAUACAAGAAUUGCCACAUAUAUAUUCCCCCACCUUUUGAAUAUUUACACUGGCAUACAAAAGAAAUUUGACAGAUUUUGUAGUACAAAAUUAUGCCAAAAAGGUAUUGUAUGUGUUUUUUGAUUAUAAAGAGAAGAUACAGGCUCCGGUUAACCGGAAAGGAAUCUUUUGGAAGGGUACUGGAUAGAAAGUUUCCAGAUUCUAGCUAGGAAGGAAGGAGUUCUUUAUAAAGGACAAGGAUCAGUCAGGGUUGAUGGGGCAUUUUCAUAAGAAUACUUAAACUUUCCUUAGGCCCCAUCUGUCAGAUACCUUGUCUUUAGAUCUCUUCUCUGCUUCCUCCUGUGUUUAUAUUUACUUUAAAUGAACAAGGACUUUGUCUGACUUAGAGCCAGAGAAAAGCUAUGCCCAGAAUGGACCGCUGAAUUAGUUUGACCUCAGGCACAUCCUGAAGUGAUGACUCCACAGGAAGAAUGAAAUUAUUUUGAUGAUUCUUUAUAGUUCUAAUGCUAUAAUCUAGAUAGAAUUUUAGGUCAUUUACAUUUUUCUGAGGUCUUGAGAAACACACUA